rnacentral:rRNA from 1 species
ACGUAGGUGUCGAGCGUUGUUCGGAUUCAUUGGGCGUAAAGGGUCCGCAGGUGGCCAGCUAAGUCUGAUGUGAAAUCCCGGAGCUCAACUCCGGAACUGCAUUGGAAACUGACUGGCUAGAGCAUCGGAGAGGAGAUUGGAAUUCCAGGUGUAGCGAUAAAAUGCGUAGAUAUCUGGAAGAACACCGAAAGCGAAGGCAGAUCUCUGGACGAUCGCUGACCCUCAGGGACGAAAGCAUGGGGAGCAAACAG